rnacentral:lncRNA from 1 species
AAACCUAAUAAAAUUUAUGACUUCAACUAUCCAAGAAGAAAGAAAGGUGAAAAAGGCAUAAAAAAUUUGCAAUUAUACAUGCAUAUGCCAUUGCAAGAAUAAUAGUUAGGAAGAAUUUACAGUACAUUGAUCGGACUUUCAAAUUCUAUAACUUAUUUCUGUAAUUUGAUUUUCCCCUUGAUACAAACCGCAUCCUAACGUAACACUGAUGUGACCAGAAAUCGAUCCCAAAACCUCUAGUAGUAUCCUAAGAGACUCUAGAAAAGACUACAAAUCUAGUGGCAAAUAAUCAGUAUUCUUACACUAAAUAGGAGGACAUUAAGUUCCAACUAAUCUUCAUGUGAGAAGGCAUCGAUGCCACAAAGCGAAGUAGAUCUGGGCCAUCUGGCUUUGAGCUAAGUGUUGGAAACAGAUUAUCUGAUUUCUGAUUCAAAACAUUUAUGAAUUUAGCAAUGUUUGGAAGUACAAGCUCUCUACAGUGGAGAUGUAAUAAAGGAACCUUGGAUAAUACACUUCCCUUCUGAACAUCUAGGCCGUCUGGCCUUCGCAGUUUGUAAGGUUUCCCAGAUGUAGGCUCAAUAUCAACGCGAGGCAUUUGCUUCCAUCUCCGGUGCACAAACCAACCAUACUUAUAGUCACCAACAAUUGGAGUGCCUAGAGCUUCAGCACAAUGGACACGAAGCUGCGAGAAAUGGAAGAAAUCAAAUUCGAUGUGGCCAAUUCUAUCUACAACAUGUUUUUUUCUUCACCUGAAGCUUAUGUUUUCAUUUCAUUUCUCUCAUUAAAAGGGGCAAAUCAAGAAAUGAAAACUAGUCAUGAUAGUCAACCAAUGCCGGAGCCUUGAAACUUUAACAUUAUUUCAUAAAUAUUCAUAGAUAAAUAAGUAAUUUAAUUAUACGAAUUACAAAUGAAUUUUAAAUGAAUAUAUCAUAUUCAACUUGUUUAUGACCCAUUUAUUAAACGAAUACAUGAAUCAAUAACCUCAAACCCGAAUUCGAUUUGUUUAAUUAGCAAAUUGAAUCAAAUUCACAUGUUUAUUAAACGAAUUAAUUUUUUCAUACCCAAGCCCAUUUAAUUCGCAUCGAAUCAAGUAAACGAAUUCCAAUCCAAAUUAACACCCCUAGUAAAAAUAUUUUUUUUUGCAUGACGUAAUAAUGCAAGCUUUGUGUAAAAAGAUACAUAUACAAAUAUAAAUAUUUUUUAUUUAUUAGCUAAAUGUGUUUAUUUAGUAUUUACUAUCUUAUUUCAUGUAUCAAUACCAUUGUCUAUUGAAUUUAUUGUAAGUUGUUGAUGCACAUUUGAGCUCUUGAUUGUGAGAAAAAUUUAUAUGGAUCGAGUAUAUUCCUCAACAAAUCAGAUUCUGCUAAAUGACAGAGCGGUGGUCACAUGUUGGGUCCAACAAGAGGAUCCUUCUCCCUCUGCUUUAAUUUUCUAGGACUGAGGACUCACCAAAAUGAAGGCAAUGAAUCGAGUUACAAAAAAUACUGGGAAGGUUUGUCAAUAAAUGAAAGGGGCAGAAUGAAAUUAACCAUUAAACAUUAUUUGGAGGUGAAAGUGUUGUGAAAUUUAAAAUUCAAAAUAAAACCUAAUAAAAUUUAUGACUUCAACUAUCCAAGAAGAAAGAAAGGUGAAAAAGGCAUAAAAAAUUUGCAAUUAUACAUGCAUAUGCCAUUGCAAGAAUAAUAGUUAGGAAGAAUUUACAGUACAUUGAUCGGACUUUCAAAUUCUAUAACUUAUUUCUGUAAUUUGAUUUUCCCCUUGAUACAAACCGCAUCCUAACGUAACACUGAUGUGACCAGAAAUCGAUCCCAAAACCUCUAGUAGUAUCCUAAGAGACUCUAGAAAAGACUACAAAUCUAGUGGCAAAUAAUCAGUAUUCUUACACUAAAUAGGAGGACAUUAAGUUCCAACUAAUCUUCAUGUGAGAAGGCAUCGAUGCCACAAAGCGAAGUAGAUCUGGGCCAUCUGGCUUUGAGCUAAGUGUUGGAAACAGAUUAUCUGAUUUCUGAUUCAAAACAUUUAUGAAUUUAGCAAUGUUUGGAAGUACAAGCUCUCUACAGUGGAGAUGUAAUAAAGGAACCUUGGAUAAUACACUUCCCUUCUGAACAUCUAGGCCGUCUGGCCUUCGCAGUUUGUAAGGUUUCCCAGAUGUAGGCUCAAUAUCAACGCGAGGCAUUUGCUUCCAUCUCCGGUGCACAAACCAACCAUACUUAUAGUCACCAACAAUUGGAGUGCCUAGAGCUUCAGCACAAUGGACACGAAGCUGCGAGAAAU